AUACUUACAUUGCAGGAGAAAUACAACAAUCAAGAGGGUAGUUUCCCCAGAAUGAAGCUCUUCCAUUGUAAACUUCGGUUGGGUAGACCCCUGUGAUUUCUCCAAAUGUGGGAAACUCAAAUGCAUAAUUUAUGACAGUGGGGGACCAUGUUUGUGCAGUCCUCUA